GCUGAACAGCCGGCGGACUGGCUCCUGUACUAGUGCACCAGGUGACCCGAGGGGGCCCCGUGUUGCGGACAUAGCAGGCUGCGCUUCCCAGUGGGCAGGGAUCUCUCGAAAUCCAGCGAAGGCCCUUGGGGGAUUCACGGACCCAAGGUGAAGAAUCUUUCUGGGUCUUUUAAGAGGAUGUGCAUGUGCAGUGCAGGUUGUGGCAGGGGCCCACCGGUGACCAGCAAGCCGACACGAGCUCAUUGCUCGGCACCUGGGACAGCAUGUCCUGGUGGGACAGCAGGUGCAGCCACACGAACCGGAGGGGCUUCCUCAGUUCAGAAUCCUCAGACCCUCUUUGGAUGCAAGAGACUGCUUCCCCCAGGUGCUAUGUGAAAAUACUGUAGGUCUCUUCAGGGACACCUUCCAGAUGAAGCUGGAGACAAGCUCCUGCUGUCCAAAUGAGGAGAAGGAAACCAAAGCACAGAAAGCGUAACCGUCCACCACCCUUUGUCAGAUGUCCAAGAGCACAGAAAGCCCGCUCCUCCCAGCUGGGUUGUGUUCAAUGAUUUGGUGCUGGAUCUCAGCCAGGCUGCCCCUGGUCUCCUGCCAGAGGCCGACUCAGGCCGACUCUGGAGGUAGUGAUGGGCGACGCCGGGUCAGGUGAACGCACCUCACACUGGGGUGGGAAUGAAGGAGUCCUGGUGGGCCUCUGCCCAUCAGCAACGGUCCCCUAGGAAACAGUGUGCUGGAGCAGCCAGUGGUGUUUCACGAACCAGUGCUAUUUUUAAAGAGAGGUGUGCGUAAGCAUUUACCCAGGGUGAAUCCAUCAUUUCGAUCCCACUUAGCUCCACCCUUCAUCUCUCUUUCAUCUGCUCAGCAUGCCGUGAGGACUCGCACAGCUUAAAGAGGAGGCCCUGCCGGGAGAAUCACUCUAACGGUUGUCAAGCAUCUGCCCGGGCCCGAUCUCAACUCGGAAAAAUAUUCGCCACAGCUAUGGAAAGGGAGGAAGCCACUUCCAGACGACAGGGGAGCGGGUGUAAACGGAGCCAACCUUUCAGGAAAGCAAUCUGGGAACCAGUAUCUGGAUCCUCACGCACGUUUGCACUUCCCACAUUUGUGUUUACUCAUCUCAUAUUCCGAUUUAAGGAAGUAAGUUCAAGAAAUUAUUUACUUGUAAAGACAUUCACCGCCGUGUUAUUUGCAACUGUAAACAAACACAAGACCCUUUGUGUCCAAAGAUAGGAAAACAAGGACAUCGUCCUUGGUCAUAAGGGAUGUCCUCGGUGCCAUAUUCUGGGGGGAUGACAUUUCUCAGAACAUUUGAUACAAUAGUUGAGCUUAUUUUUUUCCUUAAAAAAAAAAAAAAGUAAAAGUGUGGCAUUUCCAAACAUGCAAUUGAGACUAUAUCCAAA